UAUAUAUGUUUGUGUGUGUAUAUGUGUGUGUGUGUGUGUGUAUAUACACAUACAUAUAUAUACACGCAGACACAUGUU